ensembl:misc_RNA Metazoa_SRP Metazoan signal recognition particle RNA
GCCAGGCGUGGUGGCGGGCGCCUGUAAUCCCAGCUACUCGGAGACUGAGGCAGGAGAAUUGCUUGAACCCGGGAGGCAGAGGUUGCAGUGAGCCGAGAUUGCACCACUGCACUCCAGCCUGGGUGACAGAGCGAGACUCUGUCUCAA